rnacentral:tRNA from 1 species
ACCGCGGUGAUAGCUCAGUGGGUAAAGCGCCAGGUGAGAAACUCGGAGAGCUAUUAUCUGCGCGGGUUCGAAUCCCGCCUGUGGCA